rfam:Ciona savignyi cont_8123, whole genome shotgun sequence.
CAAACGGCUCUUUUCAGAGCCACCGAUAUUCUUACAAAGAGAAAAU